rnacentral:rRNA from 1 species
AUGACGAAGACGAUGCCGCGUGACUCUUCAGCGAGUGGAGCGUUGGUGCCGAGCGAUUCGGCGGCGAUGGCGGCUGCCGCGACGGCGACGACGGCGGCGGCGGGGAAGCUCCCAUUCCCGCUGCUCACGAGGACGAACUACGCGGCGUGGGCGAUGAGGAUGAAGUACCUGUUGCGUGCCAACGGCGCGUGGGGUGCCGUUGAUCGCGAGGCCUCAUCGGAGGUCGACAAGGGCAAGGAGGAGAUGGCCAUGACGAUCAUCUCCCAGUCCAUCGAUGACUCGACGCUGCUGCGAGUUGCGGAGAAGGAGACCGCAGCCGAUGUGUGGGCGGCGCUACGCUCCAUGCAUGUGGGCGUCGAGCGCGUCCGAGAGGCGAGGGUUCAAUCCUUGCGCUCGGAAUUUGAUGGCCUCAAGAUGGGUGAUGCGGAGUCCGUGGAUGAUUUCGCGGCGAGGUUCACGACGCUCGUGGGGCGCAUCCGUGAGCUUGGUGAUGCGAUGGAGGAGAAAUAUGUCGUGAAGAAGCUUCUCCGAGCCGUCUCCAACAAGUUCAUCCACGUUGCGUCAUCGAUUGCAUUGUUCGGCGACACCAACAAGAUGGCCAUGGAGGAGGCCAUUGGUUCACUCAAGGCGCACGAGGAGCUCGUCAAGGGGCGGGAGACGACACAUAAAGAAGAGCAGCUCCUCAUGGCGAGAGGGCAUGACUCAUCGCGAGGACGCGGCCGCGGUGGCCGUGGCCGUGGCCGCGGACAUGGCCAUGGUGGAGGGCGCAGAGACAAGAGCGAGGUACAAUGUUAUAACUGUGAUGACUUUGGACAUUUUGCUUGGGAGUGUCCGGAGAAGAAGAAGGAGAACGAGGAGAAGGCACUGCUGGCCGGCUACGGCAGCGACGGACCGGCUCUCCUAUGA